UUUUUUUUUAUUAUUUAAUUUGUACUUUACAAUUUAUCCAGCUGGACAUUUGGUGAAUUUUUCUAAUUUAAUUGCUAAAUAGCAAGUAGGUGGCUACCCCCAGCGGGUUACCAUUUUCGAAUUUGUCUAUUUUAUUUCCUUAUGAGGUCAGUAGGGUGUUUUCUUUUUAGUCUUCUUUGUAGAAUUUUCUUUUAUUAUUUAAUUUGUACUUUACAAUUUGUCCAGCUGGACAUUUGGUAAAUUUUUCUAAUUUAAUUGCCAAAUAACACGUGGAUGGCUACCCCCAGUGGGAUACCAUCAUCGAGUUUGACUAUUUUAUUUCCUUAUUGAGGUCAGUGGGGUGUUUUCUUCUUGGUCUUCUUUGUAGAAUUUUUUUUUUAUUUAAUUUGUACUUUACAAUUUGUACAGCUGGAUAUUUGGUAAAUUUUUCUAAUUUAAUUGCCAAAUAACACGCGGAUGGCUACUCCCAGCGGGUUACCAUCAUCGAGUUUGGCUAUUUUAUUUCCUUAUUGAG
rnacentral:misc_RNA from 1 species